UUGAUUUUCUAGGAUGUAGAAAUAAUAAUUACUUCCAAAACACAGAAGCUAUCAUUUUCUUAAAAAAUCACUACAUUUAUUUCUAAGGUGACAUUUUUAAUUAUUAUCUCCUUUCAAGAAUUUAUUUUUCAUAUAUUAUAAAGAAAUAUACAUUUAUGCGGAAGAGACGCACCAAGGAGCAAAUAAAACUAAGCAAUGAAAGACGAACUUGGGUCAAACUUUACCGCAAAGGCCUCAAGCAAAAGCUUUUUUUGAGAAGAAAUUUCGGCUAUAUGAGUCAAUUCUCCAAGAAUAACAAACCAUCAAAUUCACUUAAAAAAAUGUAACCAUACUUAUUUUUGUUGCUCUUACCUGGAAUAAAAAGACUUUUUAGUGGCACUUCA